rnacentral:rRNA from 1 species
AUGCAGUCGAGGGGCAGCAUUUUAGUUUGCUUGCAAACUAAAGAUGGCGACCGGCGCACGGGUGAGUAACACGUAUCCAACCUGCCGAUAACUCGGGGAUAGCCUUUCGAAAGAAAGAUUAAUAUCCGAUAGUAUAUUAAAACCGCAUGGUUUUACUAUUAAAGAAUUUCGGUUAUCGAUGGGGAUGCGUUCCAUUAGUUUGUUGGCGGGGUAACGGCCCACCAAGACUACGAUGGAUAGGGGUUCUGAGAGGAAGGUCCCCCACAUUGGAACUGAGACACGGUCCAAACUCCUACGGGAGGCAGCAGUGAGGAAUAUUGGUCAAUGGACGAGAGUCUGAACCAGCCAAGUAGCGUGAAGGAUGACUGCCCUAUGGGUUGUAAACUUCUUUUAUAUGGGAAUAAAGUAUUCCACGUGUGGGAUUUUGUAUGUACCAUAUGAAUAAGGAUCGGCUAACUCCGUGCCAGCAGCCGCGGUAAUACGGAGGAUCCGAGCGUUAUCCGGAUUUAUUGGGUUUAAAGGGAGCGUAGGUGGAUUGUUAAGUCAGUUGUGAAAGUUUGCGGCUCAACCGUAAAAUUGCAGUUGAAACUGGCAGUCUUGAGUACAGUAGAGGUGGGCGGAAUUCGUGGUGUAGCGGUGAAAUGCUUAGAUAUCACGAAGAACUCCGAUUGCGAAGGCAGCUCACUAGACUGCAACUGACACUGAUGCUCGAAAGUGUGGGUAUCAAACAGGAUUAGAUACCCUGGUAGUCCACACAGUAAACGAUGAAUACUCGCUGUUUGCGAUAUACAGUAAGCGGCCAAGCGAAAGCAUUAAGUAUUCCACCUGGGGAGUACGCC